rnacentral:rRNA from 1 species
AUACGGAGGGUGCAAGCGUUACUCGGAAUCACUGGGUGUAAAGCGCGCGCAGGCGGUCUUUUAAGUUGGAUGUGAAAGCCUACAGCUCAACUGUAGAACUGCAUCCAAAACUAUUAGACUAGAGUCUGGGAGGGGAAGAUGGAAUUAGUUGUGUAGGGGUAAAAUCCGUAGAGAUAACUAGGAAUACCAAAAGCGAAGGCGAUCUUCUGGAACAGUACUGACGCUGAGGCGCGAAAGCGUGGGGAGCAAACAGGAUUAGAAACCCUAGUAGUCC